rnacentral:misc_RNA from 1 species
GGAGGUAAAAGUCGUAACAAGGUUUCCGUAGGUGAACCUGCGGAAGGAUCAUUAUUGAAUGAAACACUUCUGGCUUUAUGCUGUUGUGCUGGCCCUUUGUGCAAUGUGCACACGGCUCUGGUCACUUGUUUCUUCUGUUCCACCUGUGCACUGCCUGUAGACACGCUGUGUCUAUGAUAUUUGUUAACACACAACAAUGUUAGUUGGCAUGUUAUAUAUAAUAAUAAAAUAUACAACUUUCAACAACGGAUCUCUUGGCUCUC